rnacentral:rRNA from 1 species
UUAUUUAUAUGAUUUUUUUAGUAUUUUAUAAAGAAAAAAUAAUUUUUAUAAUAGUUUAUUAGUAUUGUAAAAGAAAAUUUAAAUAAUUUGAAAAAUUUUUAUUUUAAAAGAAAAUUUAAUUUAUUGUACCUUGUGUAUCAGGGUUUAUUAAUUAAAAGUUAUUUAUUUAAUUUUCUCGAUUUUAAAAGAGUUAAUGUAUUAUUAAAUUUAUUAUAAUAAAAAUAUUUUUAAUAAUAUAUUAGAAAUGAAAUGUUAUUCGUUUUUAAAGGUAUCUAGUUUUUUAAGAAAUAAAUUUAAUUUAGAAAUUUUAUAUUAUUUAAUUUAAUAUAUUAAUUAAAUAAUUAUUUAAUUUUAAUAUUUUAUGGGAUAAGCUAUAAAAUAAAUUUUUAAAAAUUAUUAAUAUAUAAUAAUAAAUAUAAAUUUAAGAAUAGUUAAUAUUAAUAAAAGUGUUAUAAUUUAUUUUUUAGAAUAUAUUAUUUAUUUAAAUUUUAAAUUUUUAUUAAAAUAUUUAUUUUAUAAAAAAAAAUAAAUUAAUAAUGAUAAAAUUAGUAUAUAUUUAUUUGUAUAAAUAAUUUUAUUAGAAAAGUUUUUAUAAAGAAUUUGGCAAAAAAAUGUUCGCCUGUUUAACAAAAACAUGUCUUUUUGAUUUUAUUAAAAGUCUAACCUGCCCACUGAGUUUUUAAAUGGCCGCAGUAUUCUAACUGUGCAAAGGUAGCAUAGUCAUUAGUUUUUUAAUUGAAAGCUAGUAUGAAUGGUUGGACGAGAUAUUAACUGUUUCAUAAUAAUUUAAAAUAAAAUUUUAUUUUUUAGUUAAAAAGCUAAAAUAUAUUUAAAAGACGAGAAGACCCUAUAAAUCUUUAUAUUUAAAUUAAUAUAAAUUUUUAGAAGUUUUUAUUUAUAUUAAUUAAUAAUAUUUUAUUGGGGUGAUAUUAAAAUUUAAUAAACUUUUAUUAUUUUUUACAUUAAUUAAUGAAUAAAUGAUCUAUUAUUAAUGAUUAAAAAUUUAAGUUACUUUAGGGAUAACAGCGUAAUUUUUUUGGAGAGUUCUUAUCGAUAAAAAAGAUUGCGACCUCGAUGUUGGAUUAAGAAAUUAUUUUAGGUGUAGAAGUUUAAAUAAUAAGUCUGUUCGACUUUUAAUUUCUUACAUGAUCUGAGUUCAAACCGGUGUAAGCCAGGUUGGUUUCUAUCUUUAGAAAAAUUAAAUAUUUUAGUACGAAAGGAUUUUAUAUUUGAUAAAUCAUUAUUAUAUAUAUAUAUAUGAAUAUAAAUAAUAUACUAUUUUGGCAGAUUAAUGC